rnacentral:tRNA from 1 species
UGGGGUGUAGCUCAGCAGUAGAGUGCUUGCCUAGCACAUGCAAGGCCCUGGGUUCGACCCUCAGCACCACAU